rnacentral:lncRNA from 1 species
CCACGUGUGCACCACCUGACAAGGGUGAAGGGGCGGAGCACAGACGUCACACACACAUUUUAUUCUGACACAGCUACAGAAGAUGGGGCUGGAUUCUUAAAUAUCCAUUUUUAUGGCGAGGAUUAGUGAAGCGCCAUGAAAUCGAUGUUGUCUAUGAACUCACAGCACAGUGGAGAUUUUUGGUUUCUUUGGAGACUCAGUUGCGUCUUAUGAAAGGAUGUUUUGCUGAGAACAGACGUGUUUUUCGGGCAUGUGAAGUUUUGCUAGCAGAUGCUUGGGAAGGCACAUGGUGUUUGGGAAGACGAGAGAAACGCACCAAAGAACUUCUGGAGGUGUCCUGGACUCUUCUUGCUGCUUCAGAGGACUUGUGCUGAUUGGCAGAAGUUCCUGG